rnacentral:rRNA from 1 species
AACGAACGCUGGCGGCAUGCCUAACACAUGCAAGUCGAACGAGACCUUCGGGUCUAGUGGCGCACGGGUGCGUAACGCGUGGGAACCUGCCCUUAGGUUCGGAAUAACUCCCCGAAAGGGGUGCUAAUACCGGAUAAUGUCUUCGGACCAAAGAUUUAUCGCCUUUGGAUGGGCCCGCGUUGGAUUAGCUAGUUGGUAGGGUAAAAGCCUACCAAGGCGACGAUCCAUAGCUGGUCUGAGAGGAUGAUCAGCCACACUGGGACGGAGACACGGCCCAGACUCCUACGGGAGGGAGCAGUGGGGAAUAUUGGACAAGGGGCGAAAGCCUGAUCCAGCAAUGCCGCGUGAGUGAUGAAGGCCUUAGGGUUGUAAAGCUCUUUUACCCGGGAUGAUAAUGACAGUACCGGGAGAAUAAGCUCCGGCUAACUCCGUG